rnacentral:tRNA from 7 species
GAGAAUGUGUUGUAAUCGGACAACAUCUCAGUAUGCAAAACUGAAGAUUUGGGGGUUCAAAUCCCUCCGUUCUCGCCA